rfam:Acidiphilium cryptum JF-5, complete genome.
GCAAAGCCGAGCUAGGGUUCCGGCCGGAUCAAAAAUCCGGCGCUGGUCCGAGAGCUUCAGCCGCGCGGGAGACAUCCGCGCGGUCCACGGCGGGACAAAAGCCCGGGAGAG